rnacentral:rRNA from 1 species
GACAGAGGUCCCGAGCGUUAGGCGGAAUCACUGGGCUUAAAGCGUGUGUAGGCGGAUGCCUAAGUACCUUGUGAAAUCCCACGGCUCACCCGUGGAACUGCUUGGUAUACUGGGUGUCUUGAGCCACUUAGGGGCUACCGGAACAAAUGGUGGAGCGGUGAAAUGCGUAGAUAUCAUCUGGAAUACCGGAGGCGAAGGCGGCUCACUGGGGGUUUUCUGACGCUGAGGAACGAAAGCCAGGGUAGCGAACGGG